AGAGUUUGAUCCUGGCUCAGGAUGAAUGCUGGCGGCGUGCCUAACACAUGCAAGUCGAGCGGCAGCGCGUCUAGUUUACUAGAUGGCGGCGAGCGGCGGACGGCUGAGUAACGCGUGGGAACAUGCCCCAAAGUGAGGGAUAAGCACCAGAAAUGGUGUCUAAUACCGCAUAUGAUCUUCGGAUUAAAGGAUUUAUCCGCUUUGGGAGUGGCCUGCGCACGAUUAGAUAGUUGGUGGGGUAAAGGCCUACCAAGUCUACGAUCGUUAGUUGGUCUGAGAGGAUGACCAGCCAGACUGGAACUGAGACACGGUCCAGACUCCUACGGGAGGCAGCAGUGAGGAAUCUUCCACAAUGGGCGAAAGCCUGAUGGAGCAACGCCGCGUGCAGGAUGAAGGCCUUCGGGUCGUAAACUGCUUUUAUAAGUGAAGAAUAUGACGGUAACUUAUGAAUAAGCACCGGCUAACUACGUG
rnacentral:rRNA from 1 species